rnacentral:rRNA from 1 species
UACAGAGGUCCCAAGCGUUGUUCGGAUUCAUUGGGCGUAAAGGGUGCGUAGGCGGCGCGGUAAGUCGGGUGUGAAAUCUCGGAGCUUAACUCCGAAACUGCAUUCGAUACUGCCGUGCUUGAGGACUGGAGAGGAGACUGGAAUUUACGGUGUAGCGGUGAAAUGCGUAGAUAUCGAGAGGAACCCCUGAGGUGAAGACGGGUUGCUGGGCCGACACUGACGCUGAGUGCGCGAAAGCGUGGGGAGCGAACAGG